rnacentral:rRNA from 1 species
AACGAACGCUGGCGGCGCGCCUAAUACAUGCAAGUCGAACGAGAAGCUGUAGCAAUACAGUUGUACAGUGGCGAACGGGUGAGGAAUACAUGGGUGACCUACCCUCGAGUGGGAGUAACCAGCCGAAAGGUUGGCUAAUACCGCGUACGCUUCCCAGUCUACGGGUUGGGAAGGAAAGACGAUGCCGUGGGUAGUCGCGCUCAAGGUUGGGCUCAUGUCCUAUCAGCUUGNGGUUGGGGAACGGCGUCACCAAGGCAACGACGGGUAGCUGGUCUGAGAGGACGAUCAGCCACACUGGCACUGCGACACGGGCCAGACUCCUACGGGAGGCAGCAGUAAGGAAUAUUGCGCAAUGGGCGAAAAGCCUGACGCAGCGACGCCGCGUGGGGGAGUGAAGGUCUUCGG